rnacentral:rRNA from 1 species
UACGGAGGAUGCGAGCGUUAUCCGGAUUUAUUGGGUUUAAAGGGUGCGUAGGCGGGUUAUCAAGUCAGCGGUAAAAUCGUGGAGCUCAACUCCAUCCAGCCGUUGAAACUGAUGAUCUUGAGUGGGCGAGAAGUAUGCGGAAUGCGUGGUGUAGCGGUGAAAUGCGUAGAUAUCAGGAGGAACACCGGCGGCGAAGGCGGCCUGCUGGACCGCGACUGACGUUGAGGCUCGAAAGCGUGGGGAGCAAACAGG